UAGAGUGUACUAUGGUAUUUAUACGCACACAGAUAAAUCCGCAAGCGCACGGAUACCGUUGUAGUUUUUACCCGGUUAAAGGUUUUAUCGUAUCCACAGGGAAACGGGAGAACUGAUCUACGCUCUAACUUAACCUAGAUAGGCCGAUAAACCCUACGCGUCCUGCUAACAGGAGGUCGACUACAGGGGACCAACGUAACUGUCACCUACGCGGCCUACCACACGAUCUAGCUAGACAGGGGAUAUCCACAAGUAAUCUAGGUCUAAGCACCAUGCUUACACCUAUACUACAACUCUAACCUACAGGGUCCUAUAGAUUAAAAGUACUCAAAAGAGUUGUGAACUAAAACAUACAUGAAUAGUAAUUGCAUAAUGAAAUACAAGUAGAUUACCAGAGUCAUCCCAUGAGCAAGCUUGAUUAGAACUUGAUCAUGGCGAAGUACAACUGGAGGAAGAACCGACAGGCUGGCCUCUCCUCCAAUCCUCCCUCGCUCUCCAUCUCGCUACUAUCUAGAUCUAC
rnacentral:lncRNA from 1 species